UCCACUAGUUAUUGUUUUUAAAAACGGUUGUUACCACACAAAUUCAGCAAGAAGAUCCAGAGAUCCGGCAACAUGUGAUCCCAAACUAAUCACAAGGGAGAAAUGCUCAGCU